rnacentral:miRNA from 1 species
AUGUCCAUUUAAAUUUGAGUUUUAGCUAAACAAUACAUAUUUUUUAGUAUAACUAACUGUGUUCCAUGCAAUAUUUGGGACAUACUUAUACUUAAAAAUUCAUUUUUAUCUGAAAUUCGAAUUUAACUAGAGG